GGUUGGACAAACUAGUCUAAGUUUGAUUCCAAGAAAUUUGUUUCUGGGGUGGGAAACU
rnacentral:ncRNA from 2 species